GAGCUUGCUCUCGGGUGACGAGCGGCGGACGGGUGAGUAAUGUCUGGGAAACUGCCUGAUGGAGGGGGAUAACUACUGGAAACGGUAGCUAAUACCGCAUAACGUCGCAAGACCAAAGUGGGGGACCUUCGGGCCUCAUGCCAUCAGAUGUGCCCAGAUGGGAUUAGCUGGUAGGUGGGGUAACGGCUCACCUAGGCGACGAUCCCUAGCUGGUCUGAGAGGAUGACCAGCCACACUGGAACUGAGACACGGUCCAGACUCCUACGGGAGGCAGCAGUGGGGAAUAUUGCACAAUGGGCGCAAGCCUGAUGCAGCCAUGCCGCGUGUGUGAAGAAGGCCUUCGGGUUGUAAAGCACUUUCAGCGGGGAGGAAGGCGGUGAGGUUAAUAACCUCAUCGAUUGACGUUACCCGCAGAAGAAGCACCGGCUAACUCCGUGCCAGCAGCCGCGGUAAUACGGAGGGUGCAAGCGUUAAUCGGAAUUACUGGGCGUAAAGCGCACGCAGGCGGUCUGUCAAGUCGGAUGUGAAAUCCCCGGGCUCAACCUGGGAACUGCAUUCGAAACUGGCAGGCUAGAGUCUUGUAGAGGGGGGUAGAAUUCCAGGUGUAGCGGUGAAAUGCGUAGAGAUCUGGAGGAAUACCGGUGGCGAAGGCGGCCCCCUGGACAAAGACUGACGCUCAGGUGCGAAAGCGUGGGGAGCAAACAGGAUUAGAUACCCUGGUAGUCCACGCUGUAAACGAUGUCGAUUUGGAGGUUGUGCCCUUGAGGCGUGGCUUCCGGAGCUAACGCGUUAAAUCGACCGCCUGGGGAGUACGGCCGCAAGGUUAAAACUCAAAUGAAUUGACGGGGGCCCGCACAAGCGGUGGAGCAUGUGGUUUAAUUCGAUGCAACGCGAAGAACCUUACCUGGUCUUGACAUCCACAGAACUUUCCAGAGAUGGAUUGGUGCCUUCGGGAACUGUGAGACAGGUGCUGCAUGGCUGUCGUCAGCUCGUGUUGUGAAAUGUUGGGUUAAGUCCCGCAACGAGCGCAACCCUUAUCCUUUGUUGCCAGCGGUUAGGCCGGGAACUCAAAGGAGACUGCCAGUGAUAAACUGGAGGAAGGUGGGGAUGACGUCAAGUCAUCAUGGCCCUUACGACCAGGGCUACACACGUGCUACAAUGGCAUAUACAAAGAGAAGCGACCUCGCGAGAGCAAGCGGACCUCAUAAAGUAUGUCGUAGUCCGGAUUGGAGUCUGCAACUCGACUCCAUGAAGUCGGAAUCGCUAGUAAUCGUAGAUCAGAAUGCUACGGUGAAUACGUUCCCGGGCCUUGUACACACCGCCCGUCACACCAUGGGAGUGGGUUGCAAAAGAAGUAGGUAGCUUAACCUUCGGG
rnacentral:rRNA from 1 species